AGUGUGCGCAUGGCUGCCUGGUGUGACGCUUGCGAGUAGCUCUCUUCCGGAGUUAUGUUAUUUUCUUUUCGUUUUGUUUAAUUUCAUUUUCUUUAAUUUUCGUUAUGUGGAUGUUCUGAGGUAAAGGCUGUGGUGCAGGCUAGGGAGCAGUCUUAACUCUGUGUGCCGUGUACCAGCUGCUCGCCCAUCUAGCGUUGGUCUGUGAGGACGAUAAUGAUUCUGCAACAAAUUCCGUAUGUUAGCUGUGUUUCUGAGGUGGUGUGAUUAUUACACUGGAACAGUCUUAAUUAUUCUCACCGAGACUGGUGAGGUUCUCAUCUGCCACGCGACGACGGGAUGUUCUUAGAAUAAAGGAGACUUGUAAAGAAUCAUCCAGACGUUCAUUUUCUUUACCACUGUUUUUCCCAGUGCUAAAAUUUGACAUGCUUUGUUUUCCUAAAACUACCCUGAGUUUAUUGUGUAGUAAAUUCUGUAUGUUCUUUUCAUUUAUUUAUUUUCUUGUUAUUUGCCUGGGCCGUAGCCGCUAUUAAGGUGGAUGAACUUUCCCUUGGCCGCUAGAGGGUGGUGUACUGCAGUGAUAACACGGAUUGUGGCUUGAAUUGUGAUGAUUUGGGUGAGAUGUGUGCAGUGAUUUGAGGAUUGGUUGGCACUAACACGUGCCAAGGGUGGUUGUUUCAUCCACUCUGCAUUCUUGUCUAUCUGGCCCUGUUAGCUGGCUAUAGCCCAUUAAUUACUUUGUUGUUGUUAUUUUCUUUAUUUUGUGUAUUACAUUUUGUGUGUUUUUGC